rnacentral:rRNA from 1 species
GACGAACGCUGGCGGCGUGCUUAACACAUGCAAGUCGAACGGAAAGGCCCUGCUUUUGUGGGGUGCUCGAGUGGCGAAAGGGUGAGUAACACGUGAGUAACCUGCCCUUGACUUUGGGAUAACUUCAGGAAACUGGGGCUAAUACCGGAUAGGAGCUCCUGCUGCAUGGUGGGGGUUGGAAAGUUUCGGCGGUUGGGGAUGGACUCGCGGCUUAUCAGAUUGUUGGUGGGGUAGUGGCUUACCAAGGCUUUGACGGGUAGCCGGCCUGAGAGGGUGACCGGCCACAUUGGGACUGAGAUACGGCCCAGACUCCUACGGGAGGCAGCAGUGGGGAAUAUUGCACAAUGGGCGGAAGCCUGAUGCAGCAACGCCGCGUGCGGGAUGACGGCCUUCGGGUUGUAAACCGCUUUCGCCUGUGACGAAGCGUGAGUGACGGUAAUGGGUAAAGAAGCACCGGCUAACUACGUG